rnacentral:tRNA from 1 species
GGUAUUAUGGCUCAGUGGUAGAGCACUUGCCUCAUAUGCAUGGGGUACUGGGUUUGAUCCUCAGCACCA